UUGCCAUUAAAUUUAAUAUUUAAUAUCAAUUUAUUACCCGCAAUAAACUGUUUCAAAUGUUCUAAGUAACUUCUUUCUUCCUUUUUUUGUUUGUUUGUUUGUUUGUUUGUUUGUUUGUUUGUUCGUUUUUGGUUUUUUUUCGAUUGUUAUAAGCAUUAAAAAGGGGAAAGGGUGUGUGCAAAUAUGUUGAUAGUUUGAUGAUUUACAAAUCUACAAGAUUCACAAUUAACAAGAGUGUUUGUAUUUUUAUAAAGAUGGUUAGGUGAGACUUAGGCCAUAACCUUAUGCACAAAUUUGCUGUACCAUAUGGCUGUAAAAGUUUCAAGCUUCAGGUGUAUCUUGACUUGCUACAUGCCUUUAUGUCAUUUAUCGUUUUUUGUUCCGUAAUGAGGUAAAAAGAAAAAAAAAGAACUGCAUUUUGCUUCUAAUAUUCUAAACGCUAAAAAACGUUAAAAAGGACACCGGCACUUUGACUCAGCAAAAGGUAAUUCGAUCAAUCAGUAAUCAGAAGACUCUGGACUAUGAAUCUUAGAAAAGACUGCCCUGAGAAUAUUUUCACACCAAACAAUUAGAAUCACGAAAUUGCAACGAUAAACACAAAAAUCGAGCAGCACACCUAUAUCAUAUUCCCGAUACUCAAGAAGUACAUUUUGCAAUAUAAAACUCUGAAAUUAUAUUUUUCUUAUUUACACAAGAAGCCCCGGGAAACAAGUUAUUUACAAGUAUAAAUAAUAAAGUAAAUACAUUUUUAUGUGGUCAUAUUCUUUAUUAUGCACAUUCAAAUAGCUACAUGUUUGAAGAAGUGUUACAUAUUCGGCAUCACAUUCUGAUCAAACCUUAUUUUGAUAAAUAAAAAUCUAGACAAACUGAAAACGUGUUCUGUAUACUUCUAUAUUCAUUUUUUACAUUAAAUUUAGGAUUUCUUUUUUUCGAGAAGUCAGCGUAUUGAUGACAUGUACAUAUAUGUUCAUUAUUCGCCAUACCCUGUUCCUCGUGAGAAGGGGCAUCCAGGAUAAGCAAAUCUAUUUAUAAAAACCACAAAAAUAAAUGUAAAGAAUUUUGUGAAUUGAUUAAUAGUUUUAGUGGACAAAAAUAAUAAGACAAAACAAAUGAAUAACAAAUCAUAAUCAAUGACAUACACAUGCUACAUUUCAUUUAAAAAUAAACAUGUACAUUAUUGAAAAAAUAAGCG
rnacentral:lncRNA from 1 species